GAAGGUGUACCGUAAGGAGCGCUGGACAGCAUACAAGUGAGAAUGCCGGUAUGAGUAACGAAAAGAUCAGUGAGAAUCUGAUCCGCCGAAAGCCUAAGGGUUCCUGAGGAAGGUUCGUCCGCUCAGGGUAAGUCGGGACCUAAGGCGAGGCCGAAAGGCGUAGUCGAAGGACAACAGGUUGAAAUUCCUGUACCACCGUAAUCCGUUAUGAGCGAUGGGGUGACGCAGUAGGGUAGUGACGCGAGCUGAUGGAUGCUCGUCCAAGCAGUGAGGCUGGUGUGUAGGCAAAUCCGCACACCGUAAGGCUGGGCUGUGAUGGGGAGGGAAAAUUAUAGUACCGAAGGUCAUGAUCUCACACUGCCAAGAAAAGCCUCUAGCCAGGAGAAGGUGCCCGUACCGCAAACCGACACAGGUAGGCGAGAAGAGAAUUCUAAGGCGCGCGGAAGAACUCUCGUUAAGGAACUCGGCAAAAUGACCCCGUAACUUCGGGAGAAGGGGUGCCCCGGUAGAGUGAAUAGCUCGAGGGGGCCGCAGUGAAAAGGCCCAAGCGACUGUUUAGCAAAAACACAGGUCUGUGCGAAGCCGCAAGGCGAAGUAUACGGGCUGACGCCUGCCCGGUGCUGGAAGGUUAAGGGGAGUGGUUAGGGGUAACCCGAAGCUAUGAACCGAAGCCCCAGUAAACGGCGGCCGUAACUAUAACGGUCCUAAGGUAGCGAAAUUCCUUGUCAGGUAAAUUCUGACCCGCACGAAUGGCGUAACGACUUGGGCGCUGUCUCAACGAGAGAUCCGGUGAAAUUUUAAUACCUGUGAAGAUGCAGGUUACCCGCGACAAGACGGAAAGACCCCAUGGAGCUUUACUGCAGCUUGAUAUUGGACUUUGAUACGAUUUGUACAGGAUAGGUGGGAGCCUAGGAAGCCGGAGCGCCAGCUUCGGUGGAGGCGCCGUUGGGAUACCACCCUGAUCGUAUCGGAGUUCUAACCUGGUACCGUGAUCCGGUACGGGGACAGUGUCAGGUGGGCAGUUUGACUGGGGCGGUCGCCUCCUAAAGAGUAACGGAGGCGCCCCAAGGUUCCCUCAGAAUGGUUGGAAAUCAUUCGAAGAGUGCAAAGGCAAAAGGGAGCUUGACUGCGAGACUGACAAGUCGAGCAGGGACGAAAGUCGGGCUUAGUGAUCCGGUGGUACCGCAUGGAAGGGCCAUCGCUCAACGGAUAAAAGCUACCCUGGGGAUAACAGGCUUAUCUCCCCCAAGAGUCCACAUCGACGGGGAGGUUUGGCACCUCGAUGUCGGCUCAUCGCAUCCUGGGGCUGAAGUAGGUCCCAAGGGUUGGGCUGUUCGCCCAUUAAAGCGGUACGCGAGCUGGGUUCAGAACGUCGUGAGACAGUUCGGUCCCUAUCUGUCGUGGGCGCAGGAAAUUUGAGAGGAGCUGUCCUUAGUACGAGAGGACCGGGAUGGACGCACCGCUGGUGCACCAGUUGUUCCGCCAGGAGCACAGCUGGGUAGCUAAGUGCGGACGGGAUAAGCGCUGAAAGCAUCUAAGCGUGAAGCCCCCCUCAAGAUGAGAUUUCCCAAUUAGUAAGACCCCUUGAAGACGACGAGGUUGAUAGGCCUGAGGUGGAAGUGCAGCAAUGUAUGGAGCUGACAGGUACUAAUCGGUCGAGGGCUUAUCCAAA
rnacentral:rRNA from 1 species